CUGACCGAUAGUGAACCAGUACCGUGAGGGAAAGGCGAAAAGAACCCCGGCGAGGGGAGUGAAAAAGAACCUGAAACCGUGUACGUACAAGCAGUGGGAGCCUCUUAAUGGGGUGACUGCGUACCUUUUGUAUAAUGGGUCAGCGACUUAUAUUCUGUAGCAAGGUUAACCGAAUAGGGGAGCCGAAGGGAAACCGAGUCUUAACUGGGCGUUAAGUUGCAGGGUAUAGACCCGAAACCCGGUGAUCUAGCCAUGGGCAGGUUGAAGGUUGGGUAACACUAACUGGAGGACCGAACCGACUAAUGUUGAAAAAUUAGCGGAUGACUUGUGGCUGGGGGUGAAAGGCCAAUCAAACCGGGAGAUAGCUGGUUCUCCCCGAAAGCUAUUUAGGUAGCGCCUCGUGAAUUCAUCUCCGGGGGUAGAGCACUGUUUCGGCAAGGGGGUCAUCCCGACUUACCAACCCGAUGCAAACUGCGAAUACCGGAGAAUGUUAUCACGGGAGACACACGGCGGGUGCUAACGUCCGUCGUGAAGAGGGAAACAACCCAGACCGCCAGCUAAGGUCCCAAAGUCAUGGUUAAGUGGGAAACGAUGUGGGAAGGCCCAGACAGCCAGGAUGUUGGCUUAGAAGCAGCCAUCAUUUAAAGAAAGCGUAAUAGCUCACUGGUCGAGUCGGCCUGCGCGGAAGAUGUAACGGGGCUAAACCAUGCACCGAAGCUGCGGCAGCGACACUAUGUGUUGUUGGGUAGGGGAGCG
rnacentral:rRNA from 1 species